UACGUAGGGUGCGAGCGUUGUCCGGAAUUAUUGGGCGUAAAGAGCUCGUAGGCGGUCUGUCGCGUCGGUCGUGAAAACCUGCAGCUUAACUGUGGGCGUGCGGUCGAUACGGGCAUGACUGGAGUUCGGCAGGGGAGACUGGAAUUCCCGGUGUAGAGGUGAAAUUCGUAGAUAUCGGGAGGAACACCGGUGGCGAAGGCGGCGACCUGGGUAGAUACUGACGCUGAGGUGCGAAAGCGUGGGGAGCAAACAGG
rnacentral:rRNA from 1 species